GAUGAACGCUGGCGGCGUGCCUAAUACAUGCAAGACGAGCGAACGGACGAGAAGCUUGCUUCUCUGAUGUUAGCGGCGGACGGGUGAGUAACACGUGGAUAACCUACCUAUAAGACUGGGAUAACUUCGGGAAACCGGAGCUAAUACCGGAUAAUAUUAUGAACCGCAUGGUUCAAAAGUGAAAGACGGUCUUGCUGUCACUUAUAGAUGGUUCCGCGCUGCAUUAGCUAGUUGGUAAGGUAACGGCUUACCAAGGCAACGAUGCAUAGCCGACCUGAGAGGGUGAUCGGCCACACUGGAACUGAGACACGGUCCAGACUCCUACGGGAGGCAGCAGUAGGGAAUCUUCCGCAAUGGGCGAAAGCCUGACGGAGCAACGCCGCGUGAGUGAUGAAGGUCUUCGGAUCGUAAAACUCUGUUAUUAGGGAAGAACAUAUGUGUAAGUAACUGUGCACAUCUUGACGGUACCUAAUCAGAAAGCCACGGCUAACUACGUG
rnacentral:rRNA from 1 species